AUGAGACGUUGGGUAUUUGGUCCAGAUGAGAGCUGUUCAUCGGGCAGACAUCUUUACCAGAUUUCGUCGUCAUGUAACCUUUCAAGAUAUGAGGCAGACUGUGUGAUGUGUGUCUGGCACAUCAGGACUACUCUGUUGGUUUAUAAUGGGGUUGUGGAGACGUAUAGAGAACACACACAGCUUCGCAUGGCGGCCCUCCUGACAGGAACACACGGACGAGCACAGCGGCAUUCUGGGACCAGGUGGUGCCGAGGCCAAUCGUGGAUGAGAUGUUCCGUGUCCCAGUACCAGGCUGAGGUCGUGACCUCUACAGAUGGGACGGCCAGACUCAGUGUGAGCUCUCCUCUCCUCACAUUGCUCUCCUCACCACUCCCUCUUUGGUCAGACCUCACACUCUGACAUGAUAGAGGGAUAGUCCUCAAGCUCAUCUUCCUGACUUUCAACUCUCCUUUCCUUUGUAUGUUCCUCCCCCUCUUUCUAUCACUCUCUUCCUCCCCUUAUUCAUUCUAGCCUGUCUUCUCUUCCAUCUCCCUCCAUCCCCAGUUCCUCUCCUCCAUGUCCCUCUUUCUGUCCUCCAUUUCCUCCCCCUUUCCCUAUUUUCUUGUAAUCUCCCCUUCCACUUCCUUCUGCCCUUCCUCUAUCUCCUCGAUCUCUAACGCUUUCCAUUCCCCUCCUCUUUCUGCUCCCUCACCUCAUCCUCCUCACCUCCUCUCCUGAUUGUUCAAUUCCAAGCAGGCUUAAUACCACAGCAUCAGACAGUUAGACAGACACACACGUUGGAAGCAGGCAGCGUCCAUUUAUCAGAGAAGCGAAGCUCUCCGUGAAGAUUCUAUACUUUAGUCUCUAUUCUCAGCAGAGGACAUCGUCAGAUAAAUCAACAGAGAAGAUGGUGAUCUCACUCUGCACUUUCCUCUCAGAGGCAGUGAUAAGUCUUUUAAUGUAACGGGCCAUACACUCAUUUGUUAGAGAUGGUGAUUACAAUUGUUUGAGGUUUUCUAGCCCAUGAUAGGGAUAGCGUGGUUGUAUUGAAAUAAUUGUUGACCUCUCUCUGAAUGAAAGACAAGGAGAUGAAGAGAUUCAUGUUUUAAAGUCGUGUUCUUGGCCGUGAAGCAGAUUGAGGCUCUGCUCAAGGUAUUAUUGGCGUUACAAAUAUUGCGAAUGUUUAUGUAAUUCUCAAAUGACUCAUGACCCAGUACGACUAGUAGGUGACGCAGGAUUUCUGUUUACCCUUGUGUUUUUAUCAGGUUAAUGGACUGUUAUAGACUCACAGUUUUUAAGUUCAUGUUGGGAAUUUGAAGAAUAUGUUUCCAUUGUUGGAAAACAUGACAAAAUGUUCCUUUCUUGGAAGUAAACAAAGUUACUGGUCUGAAACGUUGCUCAAUCUGUGUCUCGGGAACAUUGUAGAUGUUGUAGAUGCACGUAACCUGGCAACCGUCCUCACGGGCUAUGGUCUGUGGUCCCCAUGGAGACGUCAGUGAUGUCGACAGACACUCUUUGUCAAGUAGCCUACAGGAACAGGUGGAUUUUUUUAGACAUUGUUUUUCGUUUUCAGAGAUGAUAUAUAAUCCUUGAUUUGAAGCCAGUUACAGUACCAUAUACAGGAAAUAAAGUUACAGUACCAUAUACAGGAAAUAAAGUUACAGUACCAUAUACUGUAAAUAAAAAGUUACAGUACCAUAUACAGGAAAUAAAAAGUUACAGUACCAUAUACAGGAAAUAAAAAGUUACAGUACCAUAUACAGGAAAUAAAAAGUUACAGUACCAUAUACAGGAAAUAAAAAGUUACAGUACCAUAUACAGGAAAUAAAAAGUUACAGUACCAUAUACAGGAAAUAAAAAGUUACAGUACCAUAUACAGGAAAUAAAAAGUUACAGUACCAUAUACAGGAAAUAAAAAGUUACAGUACCAUAUACAGGAAAUAAAAAGUUACAGUACCAUAUACAGGAAAUAAAAAGUUACAGUACCAUAUACAGGAAAUAAAAAGUUACAGUACCAUAUACAGGAAAUAAAAAGUUACAGUACCAUAUACAGGAAAUAAAGUUACAGUACCAUAUACUGUAAAUAAAAAGUUACAGUACCAUAUACAGGAAAUAAAAAGUUACAGUACCAUAUACAGGAAAUAAAAAGUUACAGUACCAUAUACAGGAAAUAAAAAGUUACAGUACCAUAUACAGGAAAUAAAAAGUUACAGUACCAUAUACAGGAAAUAAAAAGUUACAGUACCAUAUACAGGAAAUAAAAAGUUACAGUACCAUAUACAGGAAAUAAAAAGUUACAGUACCAUAUACAGGAAAUAAAAAGUUACAGUACCAUAUACAGGAAAUAAAAAGUUACAGUACCAUAUACAGGAAAUAAAAAGUUACAGUACCAUAUACUGUAAAUAAAAAGUUACAGUACCAUAUACAGGAAAUAAAAAGUUACAGUACCAUAUACAGGAAAUAAAAAGUUACAGUACCAUAUACAGGAAAUAAAAAGUUACAGUACCAUAUACAGGAAAUAAAAAGUUACAGUACCAUAUACAAUAAAUAAAAAGUUACAGUACCAUAUACAGGAAAUAAAAAGUUACAGUACCAUAUACAGGAAAUAAAAAGUUACAGUACCAUAUACUGGAAAUAAAAAGUUACAGUACCAUAUACUGUAAAUAAAAAGUUGGCCAAACUUCUAACAAUGUCGCAACGAACUCAAAUAACUUAUUUGAUGAUAAUUAUCUCCCCUUCUCCCCUCUCUGUCCUGUGUGCCUCAGUUAGUAGAGCAUGGCACGUGCAAUGCCAGGAGUGUGAGUUUGAAAAAGUACAAAAAUGUAUGCAUUCACUACUGUAAAUCGCCCUGGAUAAGAGCUUCUGCUAAGUGACUCAAAUGUUAAAUUGAGAGUAAGCGUUCAUACCACAAUAUUUACAAAGUUUUCAUAAACAAGAGCCAACCUGGAUGGCAGUUUUUUGUGUGAAUCCGGCCGCUUCUCACUAUUGGCCACUCAGGAUCCUAACGAGGAGGCAUUAGUUGCGUUUAAGUGUCUUCUCAACACCAAAAAUGUAAACAUGACAGCCCGGGCUCUUCACUCUGUGUGUGUGUGUGUGUGUUGUGUGUGUUCUCCAUACGAUGGAUGGGAUAACAAGAGGAAAGCUUAUCCCGACCACCCCUGACCAAGUCCUUCAAAAAUGGUUUCCAUAUGGUUCAGGCUAAUAAAUCCUUACUAGAUGCAAUACGACACAUCAAAGUCCUUCAUAAAACUGAGCCCAAAAGUGGCAUGGACUUUGAAUUUCUUCUGUUUUCAGCUGAAUCAUCAUGCACGCACACACACACACCUCCAUCCUGCCCCCCCCCCCCCCCCCCAGCCAUGGGGGUGAGGGUAGGGGUGUAAGGGGUGUCUGUGGGGCACCAGAGGGUCUCUCUGGCCCUCAUCUGGAG
rnacentral:lncRNA from 1 species